AACCUGCCAAUUGAUAAUAAAUUAAAAGGCUGCAGUAUUUUGACUGUACUAAGGUAGCAUAAUAAUUAGAUUUAUAAAUUGAAUCUGGAAUGAAUGGUUUUAUGAAAUAAAUACUUUUUUAAUUUAAAUAAAUGAAUUUUUUUUUUUAGUUAAAAAACUAAAAUUAAUUUAAGGGACGAAAAGACCCUAUAGAAUUUUAUAUUAAAUUAUAUUUAUAUUAAUUUAUAAAUUAAUUAUAAAUAUAAUAUAUAUUUUGUUGGGGCGAUAAUUAAAUUUAAUAAACUUUAAUGAAAUUUUCAUUUAUUUUUGUAUUUUUGAUCUUUUUAUAUUGAUUAAAAAAUGUAAUUACCUUAGGGAUAACAGCAUAAUUUUAUUAAAAAGUUCUUAUUUUUAGUAAUGUUUAUGACCUCGAUGUUGAAUUAAAUAAAAUUAUUAUAUGAAGAUAUAUAAUAAAUAAUUCUGUUCGACUUUUAAUUAUUUACAUGAUUUGAGUUCAAACCGGUGUAAGCC
rnacentral:rRNA from 1 species